AGGGAUUUAGCUCAGUGGCAUAAGUAUCUGCUUGGUAAGCACAAGAUCAUGAGUUCGAUUCCCAGUAUCCCUC
rfam:Cavia porcellus supercont2_11 genomic scaffold, whole genome shotgun sequence.